rnacentral:rRNA from 1 species
CACAUGCAAGUCGAACGGUAACAGGAAACAGCUUGCUGUUUCGCUGACGAGUGGCGGACGGGUGAGUAAUGUCUGGGAAACUGCCUGAUGGAGGGGGAUAACUACUGGAAACGGUAGCUAAUACCGCAUAACGUCGCAAGACCAAAGAGGGGGACCUUCGGGCCUCUUGCCAUCGGAUGUGCCCAGAUGGGAUUAGCUAGUAGGUGGGGUAACGGCUCACCUAGGCGACGAUCCCUAGCUGGUCUGAGAGGAUGACCAGCCACACUGGAACUGAGACACGGUCCAGACUCCUACGGGAGGCAGCAGUGGGGAAUAUUGCACAAUGGGCGCAAGCCUGAUGCAGCCAUGCCGCGUGUAUGAAGAAGGCCUUCGGGUUGUAAAGUACUUUCAGCGGGGAGGAAGGGAGUAAAGUUAAUACCUUUGCUCAUUGACGUUACCCGCAGAAGAAGCACCGGCUAACUCCGUGCCAGCAGCCGCGGUAAUACGGAGGGUGCAAGCGUUAAUCGGAAUUACUGGGCGUAAAGCGCACGCAGGCGGUUUGUUAAGUCAGAUGUGAAAUCCCCGGGCUCAACCUGGGAACUGCAUCUGAUACUGGCAAGCUUGAGUCUCGUAGAGGGGGGUAGAAUUCCAGGUGUAGCGGUGAAAUGCGUAGAGAUCUGGAGGAAUACCGGUGGCGAAGGCGGCCCCCUGGACGAAGACUGACGCUCAGGUGCGAAGCGUGGGGAGCAAACAGG